rnacentral:lncRNA from 1 species
CUGGUUGUUAAGGCCUCAUUCUUCCCAACGAGGCGGCUGGAAAGGCAGCAGAGCAGCUGAGGCUCCAGAAAAGGAGUAGUAUACUCUGAUGAAGAGGAUAUUUUACAAGCAUAGAAAAAGAACUCCAGAUCCAGGUGGGCUCUUUCCAUGGAGCCUGAGACUUAUGAUGCCAGGUGCCUGGACAAAGCUUCCAGGUAAGCAAUAGUGGUUGCCGGUGUUCUGUGAGCUGUCCCAGAAGGCCAGGUAAGAAGGCACUUCAUCCUAAUAUUUGGAAGUAUGAGCUUCCCCAUG